CUUCAUGUUGCCUCUGUAAUUCAUUGCUCAUAGAGGCAAGUAUGAUACAUUUGACAGUCACACUGUCAUUUUUCCACAUCUUAUGUGUGUCAACCUCCUCUUCUGUAGCAUCAUCCCCUAGAUCUCCAAGAUCGGGGGUUUCAAGUAUAUAGAAAAUUUUCUCCUGAGUGAGUACUAUCUUUAAAUUUCUCAACCAGUCCACAUAGUUUGGUCCGGUCAACUUGUUGGCAUCUAAGAUGCCUCUUAGUGAAAGUGAAGAAGCCAUUUAAUAAUUCUACAUAUGCAAAAACAAAACUAAUAUAAGCAGACCAAUCAUGAUGACAUGUUUGCAACUAGAUAAGGACUUUAAUCUAAUUUGUCUCCUACUAUUUUUAUCGAAUAUCAUAGCCCUCUCCUAUGAUAAAUAUGAAAAUAUAAUUUUUCUUAGUAGGGUUGAGAUCCUAAUUCAUCAUAAAAAGCCUUGUGUUUACACAACAAACUCUUAUGUGUUCAAAGGUAGGAAACUCUUUCCAAUUGCAUCUCAUGCAAUUCUCAACUUUACCUUGUCCUCUUAAAAUACUUAUUGCCUUGUGUUAGCACAACAAACAAUAAUAUUUUAGUUAAGUCAAACUCUUCAUUUUCAUAUAGUCAUAUUCGAAUAAUAUUGCCCUUGUGGUUGCACAACAAGGCAAUAUAUUAAAAUAUGCCAUAAGCAUCUUAAUGCACCAAGACAGUAUAACAUCAGUCCCCAUUGCAAAUCUUAUGUUAGCACAACAAACUAGCAUGGAUCUUGACAUAAUAAUAUCGAGGCAUGAAGGAAGGCUAUCAAUAGUGUUAUAUCAAUAUUAAGCUUAUCCAUAAUAGGCAAUCAAACAAUUGGCCAGGUAAGCAGGUGGGAGGCUCUCCUUACUUAGAGAGUAAGGUCCUAAUUAGAGAACCACCUUUAGUGCUUUCCUUAGACACCAAUUAGAUCAAUUGUUCUAAUAUGGGUUAGCCCAAAGUUUUUCAACACUAUGACUUAAUAUAAUUUUUAUUGAGGGCUUACUAGUCUCUAGCACAUUCUUUAAUUGUAACAUAUAUUUAACAUGUCUAAAAUAAACUAUUAUGCAUCAUGGCUAUCUCAUAGCAUGUAUAAAUCAUAAGCAAUUAAUUAACAUGCUUCAACAUAUUUUCAUAUGGAAAAUUUCAUAUCAUGAUAUUUUAUUACAUAACAUAUCAUAUAUGAAUCAUAAAUUUCAGCAUUUCUCUAAGCAUAUGAUAUUACUAUCUCAUAGUAAAUUAAUAAUCAUACAUCAUACAAAAUUAUUUGAUUGAACCAAUUAAGGAUGGCUCUGAUACCACUGAAGGGUUUUAGCAUGUUAUAAUGCGCAGCGGAAGCUAUGAAUUUUAAAAAUUUCUUAAUAAAGUCCCUAUGCAUGAAACCCUUUUAAGCCUAGAUCACCUUAAUGAUUAUAAUCAAAUGAUAUAAAAUAAAUGCAGAAUUAGUAGAAUACCUCAAAC
rnacentral:lncRNA from 1 species